rnacentral:rRNA from 1 species
UACGUAGGGUGCGAGCGUUGUCCGGAAUUAUUGGGCGUAAAGAGCUCGUAGGCGGUCUGUCGCGUCUGCUGUGAAAUCCCGAGGCUCAACCUCGGGCUUGCAGUGGGUACGGGCAGGCUAGAGUGCGGGUAGGGGAGAAUGGAACUCCUGGUGUAGCGGUGGAAUGCGCAGAUAUCAGGAAGAACACCGAUGGCGAAGGCAGUUCUCUGGGCCGUAACUGACGCUGAGGAGCGAAAGCGUGGGGAGCGAACAGG